ensembl:Y_RNA Y_RNA Y RNA
GGCUGGUCCAAGUGCAGUGGUAUUUACAACUAACUGAUCACAACUAGUUGCAGAUUUCUUUGUUCCUUGCCACUCCCAUUGCUUCCCCUGACUUGCCUUUA